rnacentral:rRNA from 1 species
AGUGAACGCUGGCGGUAGGCCUAACACAUGCAAGUCGAACGGCAGCACAGUAAGAGCUUGCUCUUACGGGUGGCGAGUGGCGGACGGGUGAGGAAUACAUCGGAAUCUACUUUUUCGUGGGGGAUAACGUAGGGAAACUUACGCUAAUACCUCAUACGACCUACGGGUGAAAGCAGGAGAUCUUCGGACCUUGCGCGAUUGAAUGAGCCGAUGUCGGAUUAGCUAGUUGGCGGGGUAAAGGCCCACCAAGGCGACGAUCCGUAGCUGGUCUGAGAGGAUGAUCAGCCACACUGGAACUGAGACACGGUCCAGACUCCUACGGGAGGCAGCAGUGGGGAAUAUUGGACAAUGGGCGCAAGCCUGAUCCAGCCAUACCGCGUGGGUGAAGAAGGCCUUCGGGUUGUAAAGCCCUUUUGUUGGGAAAGAAAAGCAGCAGGUUAAUACCCCGCUGUUCUGACGGUACCCAAAGAAUAAGCACCGGCUAACUUCGUG